rnacentral:tRNA from 1 species
UGCCGGGUCGUCUAAUGGCAGGACAGCGGCCUUUGGAGCCGUAUGAGGAGGUUCGAAUCCUCCCCCGGCAG